GCGUGAUAUCUUUUUUAAUUAAGAUUAUAACUUUCUAAAAGGAAACCCUUUAGGACUUCUAAAUGGUGUAUUUCAUCUGUGCUAAACUUAUUUCAACAUUAAAGUUAUUUGUCCUAGUUAAUUGUGCGGAUGUCAGAUUUAUGUAACAUAUUUCACUAUCUUCAUAAGGAAAAAUACGGAUAUUACAUUCAAAUUCUCUUAAAAGAAACUUUCAAGACAACUUCCCUCUGAUCUUCAUUAAUAUCGAUAUACCUGUAAUACAUGUACAUCCUAAAUAAAUCAAUUGUUAUUUUUUAUAAAAUUUAGAAAAAUUAAACGUUCUAAAACGUUUCCCGUAAGAGUCUUAUCUUUCAUUAUUCUGUCUGUAUAGAUGCACCAU
rnacentral:lncRNA from 1 species